GUCCACAAAGUUUUGUACGGGUCAGCGUGUCAUGUGGGGGCACAGCUCGGGCGCAUGCCUUGCGUCCCUUUCUCGACUGGGAGGCAAAGAACACGCUGAACCGCAAGAACGGCAGCCGUUGCUUCCUGGUCCGCCUUGCUCUGCUCAUGGCGAUCUCCGGAGCGACGACGAUGGUGGCCUUGGACUUUGGAUCGACCUUGGCGGCAAGAGAUCCAGAGGCGCGUGAGGGGGCGUGCGUGUUGGCCGCGGGCGGCGCCGCUGUGGCCGAAUCGGCCGUAGGCUCGCCGGAUUCGGCCGCUGAGGUACAUCCAGACUUUUUACCGGCCGACCGCUGUACAUAACAGCCCGGGUGAUUUAUUACAUCUAAUGGAAUAUUACAUUAAAAUGGCGAUUACAUGUAGUUCUGCUUCACCCACGUUGCACAGUCCUGCUAAAUGCACAACAUAUGAUUCAA